rnacentral:lncRNA from 1 species
CCUCUUUUCAGGGACUGGAUAAAAUGGCUACAAGAACUGUCCCAGGCAGCCAGCUCUUCCUGUAUAAAUACCACGUUUUUAUUCAGUUCUUAUUUGAAAAUUGCGAUUUAAAAAACUAUAAUUAUUCCCUUGGGUACAUGACAAGUGUUUUUUUGGAAAAGCAACUUUAUUUCCUAGCCCAUUGCCCUGCCCAAAAGCAUCUGGCUGUUCCCCAGUGGGAUCGCUCUCCCCAAAGAGCAGUGAGGGCUUAAAAGCAUUUUUAGGCAGAUACUAUUAGGGGCGAAGUCUCUCUCUGAAGGGAAACAAAAUUUUUGGUUAGUUUUCUGAAAGAGAAAAAGCCAAACCCUCUGCUUAGCUGGGCCAACUGAAUAGUCCACAUACUGCAGUGACCUCUCAUAGUUCAGGAAAACUGCUGCUGACACAGAGGAACACAAGGCCCCCUAUUACCUUGUGGCUCAUUUAAUGUGCUACCUGUAACAUGCUAUGCAUGCCUCUGGAAUAUCUUUAAAUUCUGAACCAAGACCCAUGUAUUCCUAUUUCCAUCUGCACCAGAUAACUUAUAAUAUCAAAAUGAAUAGAAGAAAAUGUGUUCACUGGAAACUGGCUGUUGAGCCCCUCCAAUGGGAGCUGAGGAGCUGUGUCUCUGCAGGCAUGGGGACUGGCCACAAGCAAAGAGUCAGCAGCAUGAAGCCCCGGAGCUGUAGCGUGUGCAGCAGGCGCCAAUCCAACAGCAUGGGAACAACAGUGUCGCAAUCAUUCCUCAGUUAUGGCAAGAAUGUGCUAUUUUUCACUGUUAGGUGUUGCUUCUGAGAACUACAAAUAAAACUCUCCAACCAAGUGAACAGACUCUCUGCUGGCCAAGGGGACUCCAGAGAACCUUAGAAACUGAGUUUCUGACCAUAACAGGAUGGGAGGUCAGACACACCUCAUCAUACCCCCUCCCUUUUGUGGUUUUAGACACAACAACUGAUCAGCAUUGAUAUUAAAAGAGAGAUCAUAAGACUGACGGAACAACUUUGUGACAAUAAGAUACCAAAUAAUAAACAGGAUCUAAAGCCAUGUCAGCCAAGGGUUAAGUCAUGCACCCCUCCCUACACUUAAAGAAUAAAACAAUUGGCCAGGCGCAGUGGCUCAGGCCUGUAAUCGCAGCACUUUGGGAGGCCGAGGCGGGUGGAUCACAAGGUCAGAAGAUCGAGACCAUCCUGGCUAACAUGGUGAAACCCCGUCUCUACUAAAAAUACAAAAAAAUUAGCCGGGCGUGGUGGCAGGCACCCGUAGUCCCAGCUAGGAGGCUGAGGCAGGAGAAUGGCGUGAACCUGGGAGGCAGAGGUUACAGUGAACCGAGAUUGCGCCACUGCAUUCCAGCCUGGGUGACAGAACACCACCAGACGCUAACUGACCCCUUAUUCUAUCAGCCAUAACCAUGCUUUGAUUGGACAAGACAUUUAUUUCUGUAACUUUCUCCUGGUAAAAGACCACCAACCAUGGACUGGUUCUGGUCAGUUUCACAGAGGCUGCAUACUUGAGUGCCUUCCUGUCUCUGCUUCACCUUUUGAUGUAUAGGGCUUAAUGGUAAUACAUUUAAAAGUCUCCACCCCUAAGAGAACAUGGGCCAUAUGUAACACGUUUUUUCAGUACACAUGCGUUAGGACCACCUUCAUAAAUAUUCAUAGCUUCUCCUGUAACUGUUGAGUAUGUAUACUUGGCCAACCCAUUCAGCAUAAAUCCCUGUUCUACCCUCCUGUCCCUCAAAGUGCCUGUCUUUUGGUUGACCCUUUAUAAGAAAUAGUUUCCUCUCCAGAGUUACAGAUCCUAUGAUUUUUUUGUUGACACUUCUAAUUAUCCAGCCUAUAUAAUUUUCCUAUACAUAUAAUGCUGUAGUUUUAAAUGACAAAACAUUCUGGAAUCAUUGUCACUAAUCCAGUAAUUAGGAACAGUCUCUACUGUCAACAACUGAACUGUGUUUGAAGUACAAAUUCCCCAAAAUCCUAAAUCUUAACUUCCUCAAGUGGAUCAUCUUAAACAAAAAUUAUUCUUAAAGACAAUAGUGCUCAUUAGGAGAAUAAAAUGGGCUUGGCCCUCCCUCGAGAAAGUAUCAGCAAUCCAAAUAACCUCUCACCAUAUCCAUUCACCAAUCAGAGUGGGAAAUGACUCUAUCAUCAAAGCACAAAAAAAGAUUUUGCACUUCUGAACCUUUCCGAUUGGUGCUGAACCUACAUACACGGAUGAAUGGGUGGAUGUGGGAUGGAUGACCAGUUAUGUAUAAUUGAUGAGAAAUUUGUACAUGACUGCCAACCUUGAACAAAAUUUUCAGCGUUCAGGAAAUUUUUUUUUG